CAGCUUAGUAUUGUCGGUCAGUAUGCCCGC
rnacentral:sRNA from 1 species